GAUGAACGCUGGCGGCGUGCCUAAUACAUGCAAGUCGAGCGAACGGACGAGAAGCUCGCUCCCCUGAUGUUAGCGGCGGACGGGCGAGUAACACGUGCAUAACCUACCUAUAUGACUGGGAUAACUUCGGGAAACCGUAGCCAAUACUGGAUCAUAUGUUCAACCGCAUGGUUCAAAAGUGAAAGACGGUUUUGCUGUCACUUAUAGAUGGAUCCGCGCUGCAUUAGCUAGUUGGUAAGGUAACGGCUUACCAAGGCGACGAUGCAUAGCUGACCUGAGAGGGUGAUCGGCCACACUGGAACUGAGACACGGUCCAGACUCCUACGGGAGGCAGCAGUGGGGAAUCUUCGGCAAUGGGCGAAAGCCUGACGGAGCAACGCCGCGUGGGUGAUGAAGGUCUUCGGGUCGUAAAGCUCUGUUGUUAGGAAAGAACAUAUGUGGGUGAAUCUGUGGAUGUCUUGACGGUACCUAAUCAGAAAGCCACGGCUAACUACGUG
rnacentral:rRNA from 1 species